CCAUGUGUGAGUACCUGGAGUCUACUUUUCUCUAAUGAACUGAGUCUAAAAUGAAGAGAGUAUCACAGAUAAAUUUCCUGCUGUCAGUAGCACACCAGAGAAGAUUAAUAAGAGAUGAAAGAAUAACUCCUCCUCACAAGAAACAGCAGAUGUAAUUUGGUGCUUGCAGCAAGGAGAUGUUCCUGACAGAUGAUGCAGUCAUAUUUGCAGAGUGUGGUUCCAUCAUCCUGACACCUAGCAUGCUCUUCACUCACAACGGGUUUGAUAUCCAGUUGCCGACUCAGGUUUUAUAUCAUGAAGUGGACUAAUUUUGCAUCCACUGCAGCUAUGAAAUGCCUAUGGGUAAGUGCUAAAUGUUCAGCAUUUCAGAAGGAAAAUAUUUUCAUUGAAGCAGAUGUUUCUCAGAUUCUUCAGGAGCCUAAAACAUUUCCUGAAAGUGUUGCUACUCUCCACAGGGAAAGACAGAACAGAUCUUCAUUUGGAAAUGAAGCAUCUCAUGAUGAAACAAAUU